CCUCAAGUUUUCUCUUAUCUUGUUUCAAAAAAUCCCAUUUAAUAUAUAUAUAUAUAUAUAAUGAAAUCAAUAUAUAUUAUAGCAUAUAUACAGAUUUGAUCUGAUAUAUGUACUUAUAUUACUGAUAUAUAUAUAUAUAUAUAUCAUGAAUAUUAUUAAGUAGUCAGUACAAUUAAUCUCCUCUCUUUCUCUGGCGAAAAGGGAAUUUAUAAUAGAAGAGAUGCAUGACUGGGGAAAGAGUGACUUAUAUAUAUAUAUAUAUAUAUCAAGAGAUGGAGAUGAAGAUGGAUAUGGAGGUUGGGGUGAGUAAAUUCGAUGUCAUUCUUUGUCAACUGAUCAGUCUUUUCUGCAUAUAAUCUCUUAGUUUCGUUGUCUGUUCGACCUUGAAAUAAUUUCAAUAUUAUUAUAUCUCUAUAUAUAAA